UACGUAGGGGGCAAGCGUUGUCCGGAUUUAUUGGGCGUAAAGAGCGUGUAGGCGGUCUGGUAGGUCCGUUGUGAAAACUCGAGGCUCAACCUCGAGACGCCGAUGGAAACCAUCAGACUAGAGUCCGGAAGAGGAGAGUGGAAUUCCUGGUGUAGCGGUGGAAUGCGCAGAUAUCAGGAGGAACACCGGUGGCGAAGGCGGGUCUCUGGGCCGAUACUGACGCUGAGGAGCGAAAGCAUGGGUAGCGAACAGG
rnacentral:rRNA from 1 species